rnacentral:misc_RNA from 1 species
AAGUCGUAACAAGGUUUCCGUAGGUGAACCUGCGGAAGGAUCAUUAACACGUAUCCAACGUUAACCCCCCGUGAACCUUCAUUAUGCUGGUUGUGCGCCAUCGUAUCGUAGCAAUCCCUGGUAAAUCAUCGCCGAACAGUUUUGAUUCAGAGACCUCUGGAUAUUCCUAGCGCGGUCGAGUGAGGUAAGGCAAGUGACCUGGUACCCUCAAGACCAGUGUUCAGUGAUCUGUCAGUGUUCAUUGACUGGAAUCAAACGUUCUGUCAGUGUGCGUUUGGUUUGCAAGGGUGGCGCAGUAAACGAUCGCUGGAGGCCGACACGGCCGGCGACCGGGUCAGCGAGCUCUGCUCCCACUGUUACGACAAACCUCUGUUCCCCUCUAGUGAAAGCUAUUGGGUUAUAACUAAACGACUGUUAACAAUGGAUAUCUCGAUUCUC